UACGGAGGGUGCAAGCGUUGUCCGGAAUCACUGGGCGUAAAGGUCGCGUAGGCGGCCCGGUAAGUAGGGGGUGAAAUCCUGCGGCUUAACCGCAGGGCUGCCUUCUAAACUGUCGGGCUCGAGCACGGUAGAGGCAGAUGGAAUUCCCGGUGUAGCGGUGGAAUGCGUAGAGAUCGGGAAGAACAUCAGUGGCGAAGGCGGUCUGCUGGGCCGUUGCUGACGCUGAGGCGCGACAGCGUGGGGAGCAAACAGG
rnacentral:rRNA from 1 species